rnacentral:ncRNA from 1 species
GAAGAUAGAGGUUGCGUGAGACAAGAGUACUUGGUCGGAUAUGGCAGACAUAAAAGAAGACAUAAGGAAAGGGGAACACGCCGAAAGGUUAUUUUCCUGCAAAGAAUAAUCUUGGGCAUGGAUUGAAGAAGUUCAUGACUGUCAUCUUGUAAUAAGAUGGGGCGCUAUCGGU